rnacentral:rRNA from 1 species
AUUGAACGCUGGCGGCAUGCUUUACACAUGCAAGUCGAACGGCAGCGCGGGCUUCGGCCUGGCGGCGAGUGGCGAACGGGUGAGUAAUGCAUCGGAACGUGCCCAGUAGUGGGGGAUAGCCCGGCGAAAGCCGGAUUAAUACCGCAUACGACCUGAGGGUGAAAGCGGGGGACCGAAAGGCCUCGCGCUAUUGGAGCGGCCGAUGUCGGAUUAGCUAGUUGGUGGGGUAAAGGCUUACCAAGGCGACGAUCCGUAGCUGGUCUGAGAGGACGACCAGCCACACUGGGACUGAGACACGGCCCAGACUCCUACGGGAGGCAGCAGUGGGGAAUUUUGGACAAUGGGGGCAACCCUGAUCCAGCCAUGUCGCGUGCGGGAAGAAGGCCUUCGGGUUGUAAACCGCUUUUGUUCGGGAAGAAAUCCUCUGGGCUAAUACCCCGGGGGGAUGACGGUACCGGAAGAAUAAGCACCGGCUAACUACGUG